rnacentral:tRNA from 1 species
AAACAAAUAGCUUAAGAAAAGCGCGGCGUUGAAGAUGCCGAAAUAGGUACCUCCUUUUGUUUG